rnacentral:rRNA from 1 species
AUGAAGGCCUUCGGGUUGUAAAGCUCUGUCAGGGGGAAAGAAAAAAGUCGGUUAACAGCCGAUGUUGACGGUACCCCCAAAGGAAGCACCGGCUAACUCUGUGC